GAAUUGCUAGUAAUGGCAGGUCAGCAUACUGCCGUGAAUACGUUCCCGGGCCUUGUACACACCGCCCGUCACACCAUGAGAGUUGGGAUACCCGAAGCCUGUGAGCUAACAGUAAUGGAGCAGCAGUCGAAGGUAGAAUCAAUGAUUGGGGUGAAGUCGUAACAAGGUACC
rnacentral:rRNA from 1 species